CAGGCACCAGCUGCUGCAUGCUGGGAAAAGAGGAACUUAAAAUUGUUCUUGGCUGAGUCUUUCAGCAACUUGGCAGCCCUGAACUCAUGGAUAUUUUGAUACUUACCACACCCUGCCUGUCUCACCUACACUUCCUUGACUGAUACUAAGAUGCUGCAACUAGUAUUAGCUCUGGCCUUUCCUACAAUAUUGAAGUUCCUGUUUGCUCUGUGUCUCUUCUCUGGCUCUGAAGAUGGGCACUGAUGAUGAGAGUUCUCUUUUCAUUCCGAGAAUCUUCUACAACAUGACCCGAACACCACAGGACUCUGUUGGUGUUUGGUACAGAUCUGCAAGCCACCUACAGCCACGUUGGUUGAAACGGGAUCAAAGAAAAGGAAUGUUGAAUCAUUUUUUCCAUAUAAAUAUCCGUGUUGAAUCCAGUGUUAGUUCCAGAAAAGACAACCCCCUCUUUCUCCGAAUUGUUAGCCUCUUCGUGAACUCGGAAACUACGUGUUUGUGAUUCUGGCUCAAGGGCAAGAGAAUCAAGCACAGAUGGAGACAAAACUUUUCUUCCUAUUGGUCCACUUAUCCCAGGAUCUGGCAGAGCCUCUCAGGAGACAGCCAUAUCGGGCUUCGGUCAGCAAGCACUUCCUCACAUCCACAAUAGCGUCCAGGUUUGGUGACUGUAUAUGGGAUGGAUCUCCAGAACUGUACUUUCUGGGCCCUUUGUCAACAUUGUUUCUUGACAAAAACCAUCAGUCCUGACCAGAAAGCUUGAACAGAAACUCACAUAGGCCCCUUGGGGGAGAGCGUCACUCAAACAGAAACCAACAACUGGGAAAGAGGACAAUACUUUGAAUGAGAGACUUGUAAGAGACAUCACUGUUCUAUAUGCAAGAUAAGAAAAGGAGUGGACAGAAGACGAUCUUCCUGGGUGUUCUAGCAGGGAAACUGGCCAUCUAACAAUUCUAAGCUUCCUUUGCCUCUUGCCAAGAAAAAGUGCAGCCAAGAGGGAGCUAAGACGAUUCAGGCGACUGAAGACCAGAGAGACAGAAGACUUGCCAAGUAAAGCUUCUCUACUUAGUGAAAAAAUAAAUAUUCCAGUAAAGCAACAAAAUCCGGAGUCCAGGCUACAAUGUAUUACACCUUAUAGCCACUCCUUGCUGCGUGUCUCAGAUUACCCACUGUUUGGGGAUGAAUUGUGCCUCCUUUGUCCCAUGUGGAAAAGUCCCCUUGUCCUCUAAGAUCUCAGAUAAGGCCUGUCCUUGAAGAGACAACUAAGGUUAGCUAGGUCAUUGAGGUGUGCCCAAAUCCUUCUCUGUUAUGAAUGGCUGAAAAAUAAGAAGGGGGAGGGUAGGAGAAGAAGAGGAGGAGAAGACAAAUAAAAUAACAACAACAACAACAAAUACACAAUCCUGGGACAUUACAACUUUCUCUUGUUUCUGCCACUAGUCAUCGUAUUUGUUUUGAUAGCCCCAGCAAAAUGUAACUCCUGAGAGAAAAGGUAAUAUUCCAGGAUGGUACGGGCCAUGUCUUAUCUGUGGUUCCCAGGAUACUCUGGCAAAGUCCUGUUUUAUUAUUUCAGGUGUUGCAGAAAGCCUUUGGGAUUUUGCAGCCAGAGAAAAGACUUAUCUUUAACUUGUAAAAUUAGGAAAGUCCCACAAUUUUGCUAUAAAGUAGGAGUAAUAUCAUGUAGUUCACAUGGCUGGUGAUGGAAUUAAUGAGAUAAUAUCAAGAUGCCUGGCAUGGUUCCUGACAUAUUAAAAACUUUACUCCAUGACACUUAUACAUCAAAUGACAAGUCACGUGCUAACACCAUUACCAGAGGCACAAGGCAGAGGAAUGGUCUCUGGUUUACUCUAUGUCCACAAACCUUGUAUGAAAUGAAAAAAUUAAAAACCAACUUUUAGUUUGGACAUUUAAAAAAACUGGCUCAUUGUGGCUACUCUCCAGACUUGUGCAGAUCCUGAUCAUCAUUCUGCAUAAGUGCAAGAGUCUCAAGAGAACUCAGGUUCCAGUGACUUUGUUUCCAGUUUCCUAUGAAUGCUUUGGAUUGGAGAUGAUCCAGAAAAAUUAAUACUCAAGGUAACAAAAUAUUGCAUCAGAAAGACUUCAACUCAAAGAGGUUUCUGCUUACUGAGAGAGAUGGCAGGCAGUAAAGUAGCUGGUCCAUACAUUGUUCAUACAGGACUGGCAUCAAUCUGAGCCUGAAUCAAAUCUAGGAUGCUAGCAAGACCAUCGAAAUAUCAAUUCCCUUGCCUGUUACAGUGACUAGGUUGCAUUUGGAUAUCAAUUGUAGAUGACUUUUCAAACACAGAAAUGAGCAGAGUUUAAUAUCCAUUGGCUGACAAAGAGGCCUGGUUAAAAAUAUUUGGGGGAUGUUCUGGCAGAAGAUAAGAGGAUCUAGAGAGAAAAUCCUGUUUUAAAUUCUUAGAAUCUGGGCGCACACAGGGUAUUUCAUUUCUUUCCCUCUUGAUAAAAGGGCUGCAACUUAAAAGUCAGUUCAAUAAAACUAAAGAAUUUGGCUGUGGCCUGAACUGUGUCCUCUCCCAAAUCAUCUGCUGAAGCGUUAACCUUUCAGUGAGAUCGUGUUUGGUGAUAGGGCUUUGGGGAAGUAAUUACAGUUAAAUGAGGUUAACAAGGACAGGGUUAUCAUCUGAUGGAAUUGGCUGCAGGGACUCAACCUGACCUGACCUCAGCCAUCUUGAGUCAUAACCCCCACGAUUGCCCAAGAAUUACUCCAGAAUAUUUUCUUUAUGUAGUUUUUCCAACAUACUACCAACAGACAGAACAACUGGAGUGAUGGGUGGAGCUUCCCCCAUGGGACCUGGGACAAUUUUGCUUGCUGGCACCUGCAUGUCAGCAUGAGAUAAAAUAAGACCAUCCUAGAUUGGAGAAGAAUCACUUUGGUCCUAACUGCUAGCUAAGGUCCUCCCUCUGAGCUAAUUGGCAGGGGUUUACUGGUGUUGUUACAGCUUUUGACUGUGUUCUGUCAGGAAGUCUUCAAUAAACUACAUCCUACAACAGGCCUGGAUUUCAUAACCUUAGAUUUACAGAUUAUUGCCCAACACUCUGACACUUUGAGGCACUGGGAACUAUGAGUUAGAUGACAUUAUUUCUUACAAUCUUUUUUUUUCCAGGAACUAUGGGAAAAUAAUCCCAUUGUCAAGGGCAGUAGGUACACUCACCAAACAGGUUCUUGGAGAACCUGUUUCUCUGGCUUUCAGACCCCAGUAACUUCAAAAGUCAUAUGUUAAUAAUCAAACACUCCUCAGAUUCUUGUAAAUGUGCUGGCCAUUGCACAUGCUCAAUACGUGCCCUAGAUACUUUACUCCUUCCAUUAACUCCAUGUCUUUCCUUCUUUCCCCUCAUAAUCACAGUAUCUGCUGGGACUUUCUCCUGAAGCCACUUGGUGAGAAUACUUGUAGCUAAAAACUGUCUUUUGUCCCAUCUUGUCUCCAGUUGUGUAUAAUAAAGGUAAUGCCAUUUUUC